rnacentral:tRNA from 15 species
GCCCGGGUGGUGGAAUUGGUAGACGCAGGGGACUCAAAAUCCCCCGCCGCAAGGCGUGCCGGUUCGAUUCCGGCCCCGGGCACCA